GCCUGGCACGGUGGUGCACGCCUGUAAUCCCAGCAGCUCGGGAGGCUGAGACAGGAGGAUCUUGAGUUCAAAGCCAGCCUCAACAACAGCAAGGCACUAAGCAACUCAGUGAGACCUUGUCUCUA
rnacentral:sRNA from 1 species